rnacentral:rRNA from 1 species
AUUGAACGCUGGCGGCAUGCCUUACACAUGCAAGUCGAACGGUAACAGGUCUUCGGAUGCUGACGAGUGGCGAACGGGUGAGUAAUACAUCGGAACGUGCCUAGUAGUGGGGGAUAACUACUCGAAAGAGUGGCUAAUACCGCAUGAGAUCUACGGAUGAAAGCAGGGGAUCGCAAGACCUUGUGCUACUAGAGCGGCCGAUGGCAGAUUAGGUAGUUGGUGGGAUAAAAGCUUACCAAGCCGACGAUCUGUAGCUGGUCUGAGAGGACGAUCAGCAACACUGGGACGGAGACAAGGACCAGACUCCUACGGGAGUCAUCAGUGGGGAAUUUUGGACAAUGGGCGCAAACCAGAUCCAGCACUGCAGCGUGCAGGAUGAAGUCCUUCGGGUUGUAAACCUCUUUUGUACGGAACGAAAAGCCCCGGGUUAAUACCCUGGGGUCAUGACGGUACCGUAAGAAUAAGCACCGGCUAACUACUUGCCAGCAGCCGCAGUAC